AACUAUAUGCAACCUUUCACGGCACUUGCAGACCACCAAGAUCUCUUGGUCGUUCCUUGAGCCCGAUUAAAAGUAAGUCCCUGACUAUUAUCAGAUCAUCAAGGAUUGCAUGGUCUUUGGUUGAGACCUGGAUUGCAGAGAGAUGUUAUCAAUGACUUGUGAAGUUUAUUACCAACAUCGUCAAGAUUACCCAUUAAAUUGAUAGUGGAGUUCAACAUGCAGACGGGCCGGCCAGUUUGCAUGUCCUUCACGCUUGAAGGUCGCGGAGAACAUUACACCCAUCCCCAUCAACGACAACCUACAGAAGGAAAGGCUAGUUUGCAUUUCCUUCACUUUCGAAGGUCAUGGAGAUCAUUACGUAAAACUGUCAAUGCGGUGGUGUAGAGGUUGGGUGAGGACGACACGUGUAACAUCAUUAUCAAGUAGGCGAGAGAAAAAUUGAUAAGGAUCAGUCGAACGAGUAUCUCCGACACGGUAACAACUUCAGCGCACUAUUGGUCACCAGCUGCAUUCUUCAUCGUAUCAUCAGUUCGCAAUCAUAAUAAACUGUGUCGUCGUGCUGCUGUUGGUUGUUGUCCUGAAAUACUACACCAUCGAGGCUUCAAAGUAUUACACUACAAUUUAUGCUGCUGCGAGAUGCAUCACUAAAGAGCCCGAGUACUACAUCCUGAUUCCAUUCGUAUUAAGCCACAACCAUUUGUUAAUUCUGGCGCCGUGCUGCUGUUUGGUGUCUUAUCGUUGAAGGUUGGGUCGACCAAGGGUUUACUGAUGUCUUCUGGUCAUGGUGGAGACCAAGCAACAGAAGCGAAAGAUUACAACACCGAGGCCCCCAAGUACUACACCACCAAGGCAACUGAGUAUUACACCACUUCUUACGCUGCUACCACCUACUACGCCGAAGCUCCGAAGUUUUACUCUGUGCUGAGUUACCACACCAUUAAGGAAGCCGAACAUUACGCCAGAAACGCUUCUGCAACUUACUACAUGGAGAUUCCUAAAUGCUAGAGCCGAAAUUUCUAUUUCUAUUUUAUUUUAUUUAAUUUAGAUAUGUCGGUUGUCUUCAUGGUCAUUGGUCAUUGGGAAUUAAUUGUUGAUCUUGAUUGAGAAAAUAAAAUUUCUAAUGCCGGUAA